rnacentral:rRNA from 1 species
AGAGUUUGAUCAUGGCUCAGAGCGAACGCUGGCGGCAGGCCUAACACAUGCAAGUCGAACGAAGUCUUCGGACUUAGUGGCGGACGGGUGAGUAACACGUGGGAACGUGCCUUUAGGUUCGGAAUAACUCAGGGAAACUUGUGCUAAUACCGAAUGUGCCCUUCGGGGGAAAGAUUUAUCGCCUUUAGAGCGGCCCGCGUCUGAUUAGCUAGUUGGUGAGGUAAUGGCUCACCAAGGCGACGAUCAGUAGCUGGUCUGAGAGGAUGAUCAGCCACAUUGGGACUGAGACACGGCCCAAACUCCUACGGGAGGCAGCAGUGGGGAAUCUUGCGCAAUGGGCGAAAGCCUGACGCAGCCAUGCCGCGUGAAUGAUGAAGGUCUUAGGAUUGUA